UCUGUCAUAGGUGCAAUUCCUAUUUUUAGUGGUG
rnacentral:tRNA from 1 species